rnacentral:rRNA from 1 species
UAGGGAAUCUUCGGCAAUGGACGAAAGUCUGACCGAGCAACGCCGCGUGAGUGAAGAAGGUUUUCGGAUCGUAAAACUCUGUUGUUAGAGAAGAACAAGGACGUUAGUAACUGAACGUCCCCUGACGGUAUCUAACCAGAAAGCCACGGCUAACUACGUGCCAGCAGCCGCGGUAAUACGUAGGUGGCAAGCGUUGUCCGGAUUUAUUGGGCGUAAAGCGAGCGCAGGCGGUUUCUUAAGUCUGAUGUGAAAGCCCCCGGCUCAACCGGGGAGGGUCAUUGGAAACUGGGAGACUUGAGUGCAGAAGAGGAGAGUGGAAUUCCAUGUGUAGCGGUGAAAUGCGUAGAUAUAUGGAGGAACACCAGUGGCGAAGGCGGCUCUCUGGUCUGUAACUGACGCUGAGGCUCGAAGGCGUGGGGAGCAAACAGA